AUCCCAUGAUGUGGACACUCGAGUAUGUAGUCUUGAAAGCGCUCCCAAGCUUCUAGGACUGUCUCAUCAUGCUAUUCCUAAAACAUAUUUCCAUGCAGAGCAU
rnacentral:snoRNA from 1 species